AUGAUGUGGCUUGAUGGGGUUUUAGCUAGAAUCAGGAUAAGUGCGCACUUAUUAUUCUGGUUAUUCUAGGUAGAAGUCCAUCUAAGCUAAAAAUAUGAGGAUUUUUAUGCAAUCUGGCACAGGUCCGAGACCUCAUAGGAACUGGAGCCUUUUUUCGCCAUUAUAAUACACGGAACAUACUGUGGACCCAACUUGGCGUUGAAGAUUUUGCUUGCUGACGAUUGACCAAAGGUUCGCUUGAAGACCCUCUGACCAAUGUCGAAGGUUGGAUAUCUCCCUCACUAACGUCGACCGUUUCGACGAAGUCCGUCCAUUAAAAGUUAUUGGCGAGUUCGGAGUCUUCUCUCCAACUGACUACGCGGAGCAUCCAGGUUUAUGUUGCGAAUUUGAAGUUAGUGUUCAAGCUCAUCCACCGCUAAGUGGGCUGUAUUCAUCGCAUGAUACUGCGCUGCUAAAUGAGAGUGUUCCAUCGCUACGAAAUGCGUUCAAUCAAAGGAAUAUUCUGAAUAAUAAAAAUGUCAACUUAGAAACGAAAUCAGUUUGCACAUUUUCCUUGUGAAAGCAAAUUUAUUUUUAAAAUUUACAACUUAGCUAUGU